rnacentral:rRNA from 1 species
CACUGGCUCAGGAUGAACGCUGGCGGCGUGCCUAACACAUGCAAGUCGAACGAAGCAUAUUGGCAGAGAUUCGUCGAAGCCGGAUAUGACUUAGUGGCGGACGGGUGAGUAAUGUAUGAGCAACCUGCCUUUCAGAGGGGGACAACAGUUGGAAACGACUGCUAAUACCGCAUAAUGUAUGGAGGGGACAUCCCCAUCAUACCAAAGGAGCAAUCCGCUGAAAGAUGGGCUCAUAUCUGAUUAGCUAGUUGGCGGGUAACGGCCCACCAAGGCGACGAUCAGUAGCCGGACUGAGAGGUUGAACGGCCACAUUGGGACUGAGAUACGGCCCAGACUCCUACGGGAGGCAGCAGUGGGGAAUAUUGGGCAAUGGGCGAAAGCCCUGACCCAGCAACGCCGCGUGAAGGAAGAAGGUCUUCGGAUUGUAAACUUCUUUAUGAGGGACGAAGGACGUGACGGUACCUCAUGAAUAAGCCACGGCUAACUACGUGCCAGCAGCCGC